rnacentral:rRNA from 1 species
GUCUAGUUUACUAGAUGCUGACGAGCGGCGGACGGCUGAGUAACGCGUGGGAACGUGCCCCAAAGUGAGGGAUAAGCAUCGGAAACGAUGUCUAAUACCGCAUAUGGUCUUCGGAUUAAAGGAUUUAUCCGCUUUGGGAGCGGCCCGCGUCGGAUUAGGUAGUUGGUAGGGUAAUAGCCUACCAAGCCUACGAUCCGUAGCUGGUCUGAGAGGAUGAUCAGCCAGACUGGAACUGAGACACGGUCCAGACUCCUACGGGAGGCAGCAGUGAGGAAUCUUCCACAAUGGGCGAAAGCCUGAUGGAGCAACGCCGCGUGAAGGAUGAAGGCCCUAGGGUUGUAAACUUCUUUUAUAAGUGAAGAAUAUGACGGUAACUUAUGAAUAAGCACCGGCUAACUACGUGCCAGCAGCCGCGGUCAUACGUAGGGUGCAAGCAUUAUCCGGAGUGACUGGGCGUAAAGAGUUGCGUAGGUGGUUAGUAAAGUGAAUAGUGAAACCUGGUGGCUCAACCACACAGACUAUUAUUCAAACUCACUAACUCGAGAAUGGUAGAGGUAACUGGAAUUUCUUGUGUA